UACGUAGGGUGCAAGCGUUAAUCGGAAUUACUGGGCGUAAAGCGUGCGCAGGCGGUGAUGUAAGACAGUUGUGAAAUCCCCGGGCUCAACCUGGGAACUGCAUCUGUGACUGCAUCGCUGGAGUGCGGCAGAGGGGGGAUGGAAUUCCGCGUGUAGCAGUGAAAUGCGUAGAUAUGCGGAGGAACACCGAUGGCGAAGGCAAUCCCCUGGGCCUGCACUGACGCUCAUGCACGAAAGCGUGGG
rnacentral:rRNA from 1 species